GAACGCUAGCGACAGGCUUAACACAUGCAAGUCGAGGGGCAUCAUGAGGUAGCAAUACCUUGAUGGCGACCGGCGCACGGGUGAGUAACGCGUAUGCAACCUGCCCGAUACCGGGGUAUAGCCCAUGGAAACGUGGAUUAACACCCCAUAGUACUUUUAUCCUGCCUGGGAUGGGAGUUAAAUGUUCAAGGUAUCGGAUGGGCAUGCGUCCUAUUAGUUAGUUGGCGGGGUAACAGCCCACCAAGACGAUGAUAGGUAGGGGUUCUGAGAGGAAGGUCCCCCACAUUGGAACUGAGACACGGUCCAAACUCCUACGGGAGGCAGCAGUGAGGAAUAUUGGUCAAUGGACGUAAGUCUGAACCAGCCAAGUCGCGUGAGGGAAGACUGCCCUAUGGGUUGUAAACCUCUUUUAUAAGGGAAGAAUAAGUUCUACGUGUAGAAUGAUGCCUGUACCUUAUGAAUAAGCAUCGGCUAACUCCGUGCCAGCAGCCGCGGUAAUACGGAGGAUGCGAGCGUUAUCCGGAUUUAUUGGGUUUAAAGGGUGCGUAGGCGGUUUAUUAAGUUAGUGGUUAAAUAUUUGAGCUAAACUCAAUUGUGCCAUUAAUACUGGUAAACUGGAGUACAGACGAGGUAGGCGGAAUAAGUUAAGUAGCGGUGAAAUGCAUAGAUAUAACUUAGAACUCCGAUAGCGAAGGCAGCUUACCAGACUGUAACUGACGCUGAUGCACGAGAGCGUGGGUAGCGAACAGGAUUAGAUACCCUGGUAGUCCACGCCGUAAACGAUGCUCACUGGUUCUGUGCGAUAUAUUGUACGGGAUUAAGCGAAAGUAUUAAGUGAGCCACCUGGGGAGUACGUCGGCAACGAUGAAACUCAAAGGAAUUGACGGGGGCCCGCACAAGCGGAGGAACAUGUGGUUUAAUUCGAUGAUACGCGAGGAACCUUACCUGGGUUUAAAUGGGAAAUGCCGUAUUUGGAAACAGAUAUUCUCUUCGGAGCGUUUUUCAAGGUGCUGCAUGGUUGUCGUCAGCUCGUGCCGUG
rnacentral:rRNA from 1 species